UUUGCCCUGACCGCCACUACGCAUGCGGCCGGAGAUUGGCGGCGCCUCCCAGUAAAUUGUGAGGGAUGGGGCGGGACUGGAAGACCAGGCGGGAGGGUUUGGUCCUCCAAGCGGGAUCAGUGGAUACGGUGCGUGAAUUCUGUCCCACGCAAAUGCAGCGAAGUGUUUCGGCGCCGAAACGUUGGCUUCCCUGCUCCCGCUUUUCCAGCCUCACACUCAUGGACUCCGCAGAUUCACUGCCUUCCGCAGCAAGGAUCUCCAGAAGGAGGCGUACAACAUCGCUCGUCAUCCAAGGGUCCAGAAUCUUGUCAGCCUGAUCGUUCAUCCUCAGAGGGCACUGGAGCGGAUACUCCAAGACAGUGCGUCAACCUGUACGGAGUGUUUAUUGUGUGUUAGAUAUUAUUGUAAUGACUGUAUCCAAAACUGUAGCGCGGGCACAAGGGAAAACAAUGUGCCCAAGACACCCAUGGUACAACCCACCAGACGUCACGGUAAGUAUAGAUGGGACCCCCACCAGCAGUUAAUAGAUCAAAGUGAAGGGAACUCUUUAAUGAUCCGGCCACAACAUAUGGGGCAGAGGUGUCACACGGUUAAUACCCUUGAUUUGGCUAAUUUGGAAAAUAAACUCAGAAUCUUAACCCAACAAGUCAAGUGAGCCCCAGAAGGACAAAAUACAGACACUCAACUAGACACCAUGGGACAACCAUGGAGAAGCCACUGCUUCGUGACCAUACUAGAAGUUCACGCCAAGAUGAUAAACCAGAUCAUCCAGGGCAAAAUCAGGGAUGAUCAGCAGAACCGCACCCCUGUGCAGCAGCUACAGAAGCUGGAUGAUUGAACAGCUGAGGGAGGACCUCCGGCAGGCUAGCCAAGGCAAAGACCCAUCCUGGAACAGUAAUGUUUGCUGUCUGACUCUGACUCUAUGAACAGCUCGAACAUUUGUUCCAGGAGAGAACCCACACUAACAUCUCUAGCUGUCAGUUGGGCCAGCUCACUAAGGUGUGGUAUAAUGACAACUGUAAGGAUGCUCACAGUCAGGUGCUGGGCUUGAUGCUCAGGAUUUUAAUUAUCAUUUGUUACAAAGUUGGGUUGAGGACCUAUGAAGUCAAAACUAUUAGAAUUAUAAAAAAAUGGUAGUUGGAUGAAUUAACUAUGACGCCCUCCCAUAUGCUGCGGAAAGACUGGGGACAUGGAUAGGAAUACUUUUUAAGUAAAUAUGAAUUAACAGGCCCUAUCAUUGUGCCCCUCACCUGUCAUCCAUGAAUUUGCUUCCUGUCAUAUCUAGUUGCGGUCCUGAUUGCAGUCACUUUGAUAAACCUCAGGAUAUUGCCAUUUAAGAUUGCAUGCUGCGAAAGACAGAUAUCCCAAGAGACUGGCACGCUUACGAUAAUUAAUACAGUGCACGCACACAGGGGCUUU